AAUAACACCAGCAUUCUUCACAGAGCUAGAACAAACAAUCCUAAAAUUUGUAUGGAACCAGAAAAGACCCCAAACAGCCAAAGCAUACUUGAAAAAGAAAACCAAAGCAGGAGGCAUCACAAUCCUGGACUUCAAGCUCUAUUACAAAGCUGUAAUCAUCAAGACAGUAUGGUACUGGCACAAGAACAGACACUCAGAUCAAUGGAACAGAAGAGAGAACCCAGAAAUGGACCCAGAAAUGUAUGGCCAACUCAUCUUUGACAAAGCAGGAAAGAAUAUCCAAUGGAAUAAAGACAGUCUCUUCAGCAAGUGGUGCUGGGGAAACUGGACAGCGCCCUGCUGAAGAAUGAACCUGGACCACUUUCUUACACCAUACACAAAAAUAAACUCAAAAUGGAUGAAAGACCUCAAUGUAAGACAGGAAGCCAUCAAAAUCUUAGAGGAGAAAACAGUCAAAAACCUCUGACAUUGGCCGCAGCAACUUCCUACUCAACAUAUCUCCGGAGGCAAGGAAAACAAAAGCAAAAAUGAACUACUGGGACCUCAUCAAAAUAAAAAGCUUCUGCACAGCAAAGUAAUCAAUCAGCAAAACCAAAAGGCAACCGACGGAUUGGGAGAAGAUAUUUGCAAAUGACAUAUCAGAUAAAGGGUUAGUAUCCAAAAUCUAUAAAGAACUUAUCAAACUCAACACCUAAAAAACAAAUAAUCCAGUGAAUAAGUGGGCAAAAGACAUGAAUAGAUACUUCUCCAAAGAAAACAUCCAGAUGGCCAACUGACACAUGAAAAAAUGCUCAUCACUCAUCAUCAGGGAAGCACAAAUCAAAACCACAACGAGAUACCACCUCACACCUGUCAGAAGGGCUAAAAUUAACAACUCAGGCAACAGCAGAUGCUGGUGAGGAUGUGGAGAAAAAGGAUCUCUUUUGCACUGUUGGUGGGAAUGCCAACGGUGCAGCCACUCUGGAAAACAGUAUGGAGGUUCCUCAAAAAACUAAAAAUAGAACUACCCUACCACCCAGCAAUUGCACUACUAGGCAUUUAUCCAAGGGAUACAGGUGUGCUGUUUUGAAGGGACACAUGCACCCCAAUGUUGAUAGCAGCACUAUCAACGAUAGCCAAAGUAUGGAAAGACCCCAAAUGUCCAUGGGUGGAUGAAUGGAUAAAGAAGAUGUGGUAUAUAUAUGUGUGUGUGUGUGUGUGUGUGUGUGUGUGUGUAUAAUGAAGUAUUACUCGGCAAUCAAAAAGAAUGAAAUCUUGCCAUUUGCAAUUAUGUGGAUGGAACUAGAGUGUAUUAUGUUAAGCGAAAUUAGUCAGAGAAAGACAAAUAUAUGACUUCAGUCAUAUGAGGACUUUAAGACACAGAACAGAUGAACAUACGGGAAGGGAAGCAAAAAUAAUAUAAAAACAGGGAGGAGGACAAAACAUAAGAGACACUUAAAUAUGGAGAACAAAGAGAGGGUUACUGGAGGAGUUGUGGAAGGGGGGAUGGGCUAAAGGGUAAGUGGCAUUAAGGAAUCUACUUCUGACAUCAUUGUUGUACUAUAUGCUAAUUUGGAUAUGUUAAAAAAAAUAAAAUUAAACAACAAUAACAAAAGAAAAACAAAAUAUAAAAAAAAAUGGGAAGAAGACAUGAAUAGACAUUUUUCCAAAGAAGAUAUCUAGAUGGCCAACAGACACAUGAAAAGAUGCUCAACGUCACUGAUCAUCAGGGAAAUACAAAUCAAAACUACAAUGAGAUAUCACCUCACACCUGUCAGAAUGGCUAAAAUGAACAACACAAGAAAACAACAGAUAUUGGUGAGGAUGUGGAGAAAGAGAAACCCUCUUAACACUGUUGGUGGGAAUGUAAACUGGUAGAGCAGCUCUGGAAAACAGUGUGGAAGUUCCUCAAAAAGUUAAAAAUUCAGGGCGCCUGGGAUCCAGCAAUUGCAUUUCUAGAUAUUUACCCAAAGAAUACAAAAAUACUAUUUCAAAGGGAUACAUGCACCCUGAUGUUUAUAGAAGCAUUAUCUGCCAUAGCCAAAUUAUGGAAACAGCCCAAGUAUACAUUGAUAGAUGAAUAGAUAAAGAAGAUGUACUAUAUAUAUACAAUGGAAUAUUAGCCAUCAAAAAGAAUGAAAUCUUGCCAUUUGCAAUGACAUUGGUGGAGCUAGAAAGUAUUAUGCUACAUGAAAUAAGUCCAUCAGAGAAAGGCAAAUAACAUAUGAUUUCACUCAUAUGUGGAAU